rnacentral:tRNA from 1 species
AGUUAAUAAGCUUAAAGCAUUAUGUCUUGAAAACAUAACAAAGAAUUAAAUUUCUAUUAACUU